rnacentral:rRNA from 1 species
GAUGAACGCUGGCGGCGUGCCUAAUACAUGCAAGUCGAGCGAACAGACGAGGAGCUUGCUCCUCUGACGUUAGCGGCGGACGGGUGAGUAACACGUGGAUAACCUACCUAUAAGACUGGGAUAACUUCGGGAAACCGGAGCUAAUACCGGAUAAUAUAUUGAACCGCAUGGUUCAAUAGUGAAAGACGGUUUUGCUGUCACUUAUAGAUGGAUCCGCGCCGCAUUAGCUAGUUGGUAAGGUAACGGCUUACCAAGGCAACGAUGCGUAGCCGACCUGAGAGGAGGAUAGGCCACACAGGGACGGAGACACCGACCGUACUCCGACGGGAGGCCGCAAGAGGGAAUCGGCCGGAAGGUUCGAAAACCAACAGGAUCAAACCUGAGUGAGAAAGAAAGGUCUACGGAACUUAAAACGCUCGUAUUAGACAAAAACAAAUUGCCAAGGAAAGAUGCAGGCCGGGACGGUACCUAAUCAAAAAGCCACCACUAGCUACGUG